AGUGUGUUAGAAAUAAACCACACAGGGGAGGGUUCGGCUUGACUGCUGAUGAAGGACAUGGCAAGCUGUGAUAUGUCCUGGCAAGGCGCAUGCAGCCUUUGAACCAGGAAUUUCCGAAUUUAUCCUGAUUUAUAAUCAGGAUAGGGAACGCGGGGAAUUGAAACAUCUUAUUACCCGCAGGAAAAGAAAGCAAAAGCGAUUCGGUUAGUAAAGGCGAUCGAAACCCGAUUAAAGAGCAAACUGAAUCCUUAAUGGAAACAUUGAGGAGAUGUGGUGCGGCCCUAAUUUUAUCGUAAUUAAAUCAGACGAAGUUUUUCUGGAAUGGAACACAAAACAGGGUGACAGUCCCGUAGUCAAAAUUUAAACGAUAUUUUGGAGUCCGAGAGUAGCAGGCAUUGGAUAUUGCUUGUGAAUACGGGAGGCAUCCACUCCCAACUCUAAAUACAUGUCAAGACCGAUAGCAGACUAGUACCGUGAGGGAAAACUGAAAAGGAUCCCCGUAAAGGAUGUGAAAAGAGCCUGAAACUGUGUGGUGAUAGUUAGACGCAGCGUUUAAACAAUUACAUGAAGUUUACGAAUGUAAUUUUGUAUGUUGCGUCGUUCGUCUAGAAACAUGAGGCAGGGAGUGUAAGCAUGCGGUGAGGUGAAAACCGUAGCGAAAGCAAAUAUCCGCAUUGCGCAAGCAAGAGGGAUGUGGUAUGAUAAGUGCCAUAAAUCGCAUGAUUACGACCUGAAGCCAAUCGAUCUAACCCGGGGCAGGAUGAAGUCCAUUAACUAAUGGAUGGAGGUCCGCUAGAGGUUCUGGGCUCAACCCGUUCUCGUGACCCCGGGAUAGGAGUGAAAUGCUAAUCGAGUUUGGCAAUAGCAGGUUCCUUCCGAAAUGGCCCGCAGUCCAGUCUGACCGGAGAUGGAUUAUGGGGUAGAGCACUGAUUGAGUAGCCCGGGGAAGAAAUUCCUCACUAUUCUGUCAAACUCCAAACCCAUAAUCAUCGUAGAAGGUUGGAAACGGGGCCGGGGGGUAAGCUCCCGGUCCGAAAGGGAAACAACCCUGAUUGUGGUUAAGGCCCCCAAGUAUUGACUAAGUGUAAGCAAAGGCGUCUUAGGGCUAAGACAGCGAGAAGGUUGGCUUAGAAGCAGCCAUCCUCUAAGGAGUUCGUAACAGAUCACUCGCCGAGUUCUAGGGCCCUUAAAAUAUACGGGGCUCAAGUCAAUCGCCGAUACCACAAUGCAUAAUGGUAAUUAUGAUCAAGUAGGAAGGUGUAAAGCGAGGAAAGAAGCUUUUUCGUAAGAAUUGGUGGACCUCGCGUUAAUAAGAAUCCUGCCAGUAGUAACAGCAAAGUAAUGUGAGAAUCAUUACCAUCUGAAGGGCAAGGGUUCCUCAACAAUGUUUAUCAGUUGAGGGUUAGUCGAUCCUAAGGUAUCCGUAAUUCGGGUGACGAAAGGGAAACUGGUUAAUAUUCCAGUACCAUACAAGUACACGCGGUAACGCAAUUUCAUUUCCUGACAUUUCGGGGUAGUCCGAGCAUCAUUGUCUUGAUGUCUAAAAGAAAUAAGAUUGUGGAGUACUAUAAAAGUGAGAAGCAGUCUAAAUCUUGAAUUAGUUGUUAGAUUCAGACAAUCCCUGGAAUUCGUAAAAAGGGAAAUGAUAGGACCUUGUAUGAUCGUACCAAGAACUGACACAGGUGCCCCUAGGUGAAAAGCCUCAGAUGUGACAAGAUAACUCUCGUUAGGGAAGUCGGCAAACUAGCCCUGUAACUUUGGGAUAAAGGGUGCCUGCCAUUCGCAUGGCAGGUUUCAAUAACAAGAGGAUUCCGACUGUUUAAUAAAAACGUAGGUCCCUGCAAAUUCGUAAGGACGUGUAUAGGGGCUGAUACCUGCCCAGUGACAGUAUGUCAAACUCCGGUCCAACGGAGUGAAGCACUGUUAAACGGCGGGGGUAACUAUGACCCUCUUAAGGUAGCGUAAUACCUUGCCGCUUAAUUGGCGGCUUGCAUGAACGGUUUAACGAGAUUCCUGCUGUCCCAACGAGAGACUUGGUGAACCAACGGUCUUGGUGUAUAGGCCAGGGACUUCCAGCGGGACGCGAAGACCCCAUGGAGCUUUACUGCAGCUUGUUGUUGGAUUGCGGUUAUGGUCGCGCAGUGUAGGUGGGAGACACAGAUCCCGUGCUUUUGGGCACGGAGGAGUCAAAAGUGAGACACCACCCUUCUGUCACUACAAUCCUAACUCUUUAUAAGAGGACACCUACAGGUGGGCAGUUCGGCUGGGGCGGUACACCGUUGAAAACUUAUCAACGGUAUCUAAUGGUUGGCUCAGACGGGUCAGAAAUCCGUCGUAGAGGACAAGACCAAAAGCCAGCCUUACUAAAUUCUGACCAACAAAGAAUUUAGUGACGAAAGUCCAGUCUAGCGAACCCCGGUACCCCAUUGAUGGGGGUCCGGGCUGAUGAAAAAGCUACCCUGGGGAUAACUGAGUUGUCGCGGGCAAGAGUACACAUCGACCCCGCGGCUUGCUACUUCGCUGUCGGCUCUCUCUAUCCUGGGUGUGCAGAAGCACCCAAGGGUGGGGUUGUUCGCCCAUUAAAAGGGAACGUGAGCUGGGUUUAGAACGUCGCGAGACAGUUUGGCGGCAUCUACUGGAAGUGUUGUUUACCUGAGGGGCAGGUCCAGUUAGUACGAGAGGAACACUGGGUCGGGGCCUCUGGUCUAUCAGUUGUCUGACAAGGCACUGCUGAGUAGCUACGCCCUAUAUUGGUAAAGGCUGAAAGCAUCUAAGCCUGAAACAAUCCCCAAAAAGAGGUAAACUAAGACGCUUGUAAAAGACAAGUUUAAUAGGUGAGGGGUGUAAGUACCGAGGCAACGAGGUAUUAAGCCCACUCAUACUAACAGUCAUAUCUAACAUUAA
rfam:Candidatus Altiarchaeales archaeon WOR_SM1_SCG NODE_6_length_44886_cov_312.3423_ID_001, whole genome shotgun sequence.